rnacentral:misc_RNA from 1 species
CAGAGAUUUUCUGAGGAAGAAGCUGCAUUCCUUCGUUCACUUGGUUGGGAAGAAAAUUCUGGGGAGGAUGAGGGCCUCACGGAAGAGGAGAUCAAUGCUUUCUAUCAGCAGUGCAUGAAAUUGCAGCCGUCCUUUAAACUCUGCCCAGGUAUGCAGCAAAAGCUGUUUGAAUCUCAUGCAACUGUUAUGGGUGGAGCUUCAUCUGAGCUCAGCUCUACUGACUCUGGAUCAGAAAUUUGAUGCUGUUCCCCUGAAUACUAGAUCCAAGAAAUUCCAAUUUUUGAUGGCAGAUGGUUAGUCUUUUUUUUUUUUUUUUUUUCCUCUUUUUU